rnacentral:rRNA from 2 species
ACUUUAAUUGAAGAGUUUGAUCAUGGCUCAGAUUGAACGCUGGCGGCAGGCCUAACACAUG